GCUUCCCAAUACAGGGGACAUGGGUUUGAAUCCUGGUCCGGGAAGAUUCCACAUGCCGUGGAACAACUAAGCCCAUGCACCUCAACUACUAAGCCUAAGUUCUAGAGCCCGCAAUUCACAACUACUGAAGCCCCAUGCCACAACUACUGAAGCCCGUGCGCCCAGAGC